GCGCUAGGGGAGGGUCCCGCGGAGUUGCCAUGGUUACAGGCGCCACGCUCUGCGCGGGCCGGCGUGCGCUUCUGGGGCGGGUAGCGGGCUCCGGAAGUGUGCAGCUGCCCGGGACCAUGGCGGUGCUUGCUGCUGGGGAUGGCGGCUUGCUCGGCCGGGCGACUAGUUCUGGCCUGGUCAGUCGGCGGCCGACAUCCUGUCUGGGGCGGCGUCCCACAGACGGGAAAUUUCAGUUCCAUCCAGAUGUUGGUUCCUUCAGUCAACCUCAGGAAAAAGACACAAGGCCAGGUACCUUCUGUGUGACUUCAACCCUCCAGAGGGCUUCAACCUCCUUAGGAACGUCUGCAUCCACAUUGCCUUCCUCCUGAAGACCCUGCUGAAGAUGGAGGAGCCGGUACUGGUGCUAUUCCCUUGGGGCCACCUCUACCACUGGCAGAGCCCCGAUCCCUGGUCCGACUCCUUUGACCUCCCAAGUCUCAACAGAAACAUCCCUGACAUUGAGUACGAGCAGUUCGUUGCAGGCCUCUGAAUCCUCAGUCCAGGGAAGCUAAACCAUUCUAGCCUUCAUCGGUUCUGGGAAAGCAAUCUUCAGAGUGGGAAAAGACAUUGAAAAAUAAUAUUCUGUGAGUUGCAUUCUACCCUUGCCCAGAGAUGAGAAACAUCUGAAGGUGGAGGAAAACAGUUGGAGGGUUCACUUGGUGAUAAUAAUCAUAACCAAAGCAACAGCAAACCCUUACAGAACUCUGUCCUGCUGUUCCAGGAACGCUGUGUUCAUGACAACCCAAUGAGUUGGCACCACUAUGAGUUCCACUUUAAAGUGCCUGCCACCCUGGCCUCCCUGCUCAUCUGCCUCAGUCAGGAGCACCUGGACCACCAGCUCUGUAUUGCCUCGCCUCCUACCAUCAAGACGUCAAAGUUCAUUCUCCUUCCACCACCCAGUAUGGUCAUUGUAGGGUCUUCUUCUCUGUCAGCCUGAGCCAGCCACCCCCCAUUCACCCUACCCCCGGGCUCAUACCCGGGCGUGUCUCCACCCAAGGUCCAGCCUCUCUCCUUUAAGUGCCCACCUCUAGCCGUCCAGCUUCUUCUCCACCAGCCUCCCUGGCCCUCCUUCACCCUCACUGGGGCAUCAUGCGCUGACUCCUCUGCUUUCCUGCCUGUCCACGUUCCUCUUACUUCCACUUCCCCACCUUCCAGCUCUGCAUCCACAGUCAGCACUCUCUUUAUGACAGACAAAACCCCCUUGAGCCUUGACCUUUUCAGUUCCUCACCAGGCCGACUUCCAUCUCGGUUCACCCAGCUCUACUUGUUCUGAGCCUGCAGGCAGCAGGCUCUCCCAGCACAGAUUUCCAAGACUACAAAUCAAUGCCCACCAUGUUGCCGCUGCCAGGCAAUCCUCCAGGAUUUCUCUAGUGAGCACAUUUCCCCACUUAUCACUCAGUGGUGUCAACAUUCUCUGCUCUCUGCACACCUCUAACCUUCCCUCUGUCUCUUCCCUGACUCCCAGCAGAUGGCCUUGCCUCCUGCUUCAGAGAGAAUGACAUGUCACUGGAAAGGAACUGGCUCACCUGCAGCA